rnacentral:hammerhead_ribozyme from 1 species
AUCUAGCUGACGAGUCUCAGAUAGGACGAAACGCGCAUCCUGAAU